AUUGAACGCUGGCGGCAGGCCUAACACAUGCAAGUCGAACGAGUGGCGGACGGGUGAGUAAUGUAUGGGAAACUGCCCGAUAGAGGGGGAUAACUACUGGAAACGGUAGCUAAUACCGCAUACCAUCGGAUGAGCCCAGAUGGGAUUAGCUAGUAGGUGGGGUAACGGCGCACCUAGGCGACGAUCCCUAGCUGGUCUGAGAGGAUGAACAGCCACACGGUAACUGAGACCCGGCCCAGCCUCCUACGGGAGGCAGCAGUGGGUAAUAUUGCACAAUGGGCGCAAGCCUGAUGCAGCCAUCCCGCGUGUAUGAAGAGGGCCUUCGGGUUGUAAAGUACUUUCAGCGGGGAGGCGUUACUCGCAGAAGAAGCACCGGCUAACUCCGUGCCAGCCGCCGCGGUAAUUC
rnacentral:rRNA from 1 species